rnacentral:tRNA from 1 species
GAACGAAAAUCCGUUGGUUUUAUGGAACCGUGAGGGUUCGAAUCCCUCUAUCCCCAGC